CUACGGAAUGGAUAAACGCUGAAAGCAUAUAAGCGUGAAGUCGGCUCCAAGAUAAGGUUUCGUUGCACUUCGGUGCGAAAGUCCCCUGGAAGACGACCAGGUUGAUAGGUCGGAUGUGUAAGCCCUGUAAGGGGUUCAGCUAACCGAUACUAAAGGACGAAUGCUUGAUCACA
rnacentral:rRNA from 1 species